UGUUCAAGGUAGCAUUUGCACGACUAACAAACUUCACUUCUUCAUUGACUGAAGAAGCAAAUGAAUUUCCUUGAUUCAGUCUAGCACACCUGGCAGCUUAAGAGUUCAUGUCACCAAGCAGAAUGUUCCUGCUCUUAACUUUGCCUACAUCUUUUGCUGCCACUCCCUUGGUGACCAGUUGUUGUGCACUGCUGAGCAGGGCUUUAAGCAAAGGAGGAGGAGAAGAGGAAAAACAUUUAUUGAAAUAAAGACUAGCAGGUGUCUUUCUGCUUGCAUGGGGAGGUGCCCUCAGUCCAGGGCUCCUGCGGCUCUUGCUGUCUCCUGGGCCCGCCGCACCAGUUGCUGAAGAGAGACAGCUCUGCAGGCCUGCUUUUUCAUCUAUCAGUUUCUUCCUUUCAGAGCUCCCAUUGGGCGUGUGAGCCUGCGGCCACUGAUGAUCCAGGCUGGCUUGUGUUGUCAUCGCUCUCAGAGUCAAAGUCCGGCGAAAAGGCACCAUCCUCAGACUCGCUGAUGCUCGAUCCAUCGAUAAAAUCAGCCACAGAUGCAGCGGGAUCGCAAUAUCUGUUGUCUUUCGAAGCACGCACGCCACUCCCGGAGGCAGCCAUUCUUGCUUUCUACUUGGAAAAUUGCGAAACUUUAGAGUGUGUUCAAAACUUAACGCCUGGCAGGGAAAAAGUUGACUGCUUUGAAAACAAGCAUAUAGUUCUCCUGCUUCAUGUCUGAUAGCACAGUGUUUUCAUAAGCAGCAUUGAAGGUCUCGAAAGUGGCGUUUCAAUCCAUUGUUAGCGGGCUAACGAUGCCACAUGGGUACGGUACGAAAAGAGUUAAGAAGAAGCUUUAGCUCGGCCACUACUCCGAGGUUGCUAUUCAAAUACAUGUAAAAUGCAGAAAUGUUUUUUUGAGAUAACCCCUUGACCAAUUUUAAUGAAGUAUGUUGCAUUUAAGAGAGAAAGUUAAGUUCUAGUGACUGUUGUAACUGCGAUUUUGAGUUAGGGCCUGAAUUUUUUUACAAAGAGUAUUAAAAACUUGUAAGUUAAAAAGAUGAAAGCCCAAAGUUUACAAAUUUGUCCCUCUGCGUCAAAAACAGAUAUCGCCGUUCUGUAAACUGCAUCCAUUAGAGCAUCUAAAGUGGACGAAUUCGAUACAUAAAUUUAAGCUCACAUGAAUUUGUUACAGUGUUUACAAGCGUUUUGCUAAAGUCAUACUCACAUAAGAACAGUAUAUUGCAGAGCGAUGUGUAAUACAGUAAUUUUAUCCACUUUAGAUAUUAGAUGCAGUUUACAGAAUUAUGAUAUCAUUUUUUAUUCUUGUGUUACAGAGUUGGAAACUUCAUAGUUUCGUUUUCUGAAAAUUUGCGAUUUUUGGCAAUUUUCAUUAAAAUUCUAGAGCAUAAAUAAAAAAUCCUCUUCCAAUGGUCA